CUUGGCUGCAUAAUUUCAACACCAUCAACAUCAAUUCCAUGUGACAGUAUUAAAUCUAGAGUAUGAUUUCGACAAUGAGUAGGUCCUGAGACGUGUUGUCUAACCCCAAUAGAGUUCAGAAUGUCUAUAAAUGCUGAUCCCAAUGCAUCUGUUAUGUUCAUUGUGUUAAGUGUUUUAGGUUUCACUCUUGGGACUCUAAUUUUGAAAAUUACCAGACUAAGCAAGGGAGCAGCCAUUUUGGUUUCAGUUUGCUCAGCUCUCUCAAGCUUUAAGCUCCAUGUGACUGCCGCUCCAGUUUUCUUUAAUGUUCAUGUCUUCGAAAGCAUUGUCAUUUCACUCUCCUUUGAAGCAUAUUGGAGUAAACAUCAGGAGUUUUGAAAACUACACCCUGGCUCCAGUCUUUAUUUGAAGGGAGUUUGGCUUGCUGCUAAAUUGUGUUCACACAUAUGGAAACACACAAGGAGAGCAGUACAGCAUCUUUUUU
ensembl:lncRNA